rnacentral:rRNA from 1 species
AUUGAACGCUGGCGGCAUGCCUUACACAUGCAAGUCGAACGGCAGCGGGGACUUCGGUCCGCCGGCGAGUGGCGAACGGGUGAGUAAUGUAUCGGAACGUACCUUUCAGUGGGGGAUAACGUAGCGAAAGUUACGCUAAUACCGCAUAUUCUCUGAGGAGGAAAGCAGGGGACCUUCGGGCCUUGUGCUGAUGGAGCGGCCGAUAUCAGGUUAGCUAGUUGGUGAGGUAAAGGCUCAACAAGGCGACGAUCUGUAGCGGGUCUGAGAGGAUGAUCCGCCACACUGGGACUGAGACACGGCCCAGACUCCUACGGGAGGCAGCAGUGGGGAAUUUUGGACAAUGGGCGCAAGCCUGAUCCAGCCAUGCCGCGUGAGUGAAGAAGGCCUUCGGGUUGUAAAGCUCUUUCGGACGGGAAGAAAUUGGUGGGGCUAAUAUCCCCAUCGGAUGACGGUACCGUAAUAAGAAGCACCGGCUAACUACGUGCCAGCCGCCGCAGUAACAC